AACAUCGCGCACCUGCGGGAACCUGCGGAGGGAUCAUUACCGAGUGUGAACCCCCCCGUAAAAAAGAGGGGUUACCUCCCGUCCUUUGCUGGGAACCCCUUUCCAACUUGGAAGGAGGUUGUUUUCAGACCCUUCUGCUUCGGUGGGGUAACCCACCGGAACAACCUCAAAAAUAUUCUCAAUUCAAAACCGUUCAGUCCGAGAACUUUUUUGAAAAGCGAAAAAACUUUCAACAACGGA
rnacentral:misc_RNA from 1 species